UGGGGAAUAUUGCGCAAUGGGCGAAAGCCUGACGCAGCGACGCCGCGUGAGGGAUGAAGGUUUUCGGAUCGUAAACCUCUGUCAGAAGGGAAGAAACCGCACUGUGCUAAUCAGCAGUGCCUUGACGGUACCUUCAAAGGAAGCACCGGCUAACUCCGUGCCAGCAGCCGCGGUAAUACGGAGGGUGCAAGCGUUAAUCGGAAUUACUGGGCGUAAAGCGCACGUAGGCUGCUUUGUAAGUCAGGGGUGAAAUCCCACGGCUCAACCGUGGAACUGCCUUUGAUACUGCUUAGCUUGAAUCCGGAAGAGGGUGGCGGAAUUCCAGGUGUAGGAGUGAAAUCCGUAGAUAUCUGGAGGAACAUCAGUGGCGAAGGCGGCCACCUGGACCGGUAUUGACGCUGAGGUGCGAAAGCGUGGGGAGCAAACAGG
rnacentral:rRNA from 1 species